rnacentral:rRNA from 1 species
UGGUUCAACUGAUUUGAAGAGCUUGCUCAGAUAUGACGAUGGACAUUGCAAAGAGUGGCGAACGGGUGAGUAACACGUGGGAAACCUACCUCUUAGCAGGGGAUAACAUUUGGAAACAGAUGCUAAUACCGUAUAACAAUAGCAACCGCAUGGUUGCUACUUAAAAGAUGGUUCUGCUAUCACUAAGAGAUGGUCCCGCGGUGCAUUAGUUAGUUGGUGAGGUAAUGGCUCACCAAGACGAUGAUGCAUAGCCGAGUUGAGAGACUGAUCGGCCACAAUGGGACUGAGACACGGCCCAUACUCCUACGGGAGGCAGCAGUAGGGAAUCUUCCAAAAUGGGCGAAAGCCUGAUGGAGCAACGCCGCGUGUGUGAUGAAGGGUUUCGGCUCGUAAAACACUGUUGUAAGAGAAGAAUGACAUUGAGAGUAACUGUUCAAUGU